GGAGAGACAGCCCAUAACAGAGGGAGAAAGAGGGAGAGAGAGAGAGAGAGGGAGGAACGAUGAAGCAGACGUGGCAGAGUGUCGCGGGUUUGCAGGAGUUCCUGGUCCUAGUCUUGCAACUCACCUAUGAGGAAACUGAGGCGCAGAGAGGGGAUGCGACCUCCCCAAGGUCACACAGCAGUGCACUUGGGCAGUGGGGCUGCAGAAUCCACUCUUAAACUCUACCCGACAAUGCUUGUCUGUGCUCGCCGUCCUUCUGGCCUCUCUUCUUAAUGAUGGAAGAUAUCACACUAGCAGUUGGGGGAUUGAGGCUGAGUGACGGGAGUGGAAGGUUUGAGAAGAGAGGAGAGCCACCAGCCGCCGCCUUGGAGAGGAGACCUUACUAGAAAAACAGGAGGGCUACGGGUUUGAGGUUUGUGGUGCUGGGUUUGCUGUGAAAUCCGGGAGGCUGGCUGUUUGCCUAUUUUCUGCAUCGCGGUGAGGAACGGCUUUGGCAGGAGCAGGAGGAGAAAAGUGGCCCCUCCUCAGCUCACCGUCCAUCUGCUGAUCCUCCCUGCUCCCUGAGCCCUGGAAACUGGCGCCGGCUGGCCCGUCUGUCCUUCCAGCCAACCGCCUGGAUCCAAGUGAGCUAAGCUCGGGGGACCGAGCAUGUCCCCAGGCCGCGUGGGAGGGAAGGGCCUGGAAGGAUGUCACAGACCAGAGUCCAAAGGAAAUGAAUUCCAUGCCAGGAACGGGGAGCCCAGGGCAGGGGGCGGGGAGCUGUGGGGCUGGAGGGAAUGUGAGGGCCUCCAAGGUGGCCGGGGAGGUUUCUCUCUCAGCGCCAGAGAAAGCAGGGCCUGUGGCCGGUCCCCUCCCGCAGUCCCGGCGAGUCACGGAAAGACCCAGGGUUCUGCGGUGAGCCGGCCCUGAGCUGGAAUCUCAGCGCUGUGGUUUCUUGGCUGGAUGCGACUUUAGGGACUCUGAUGGGCUGAGCUCCGUAUAAAUCCUCAGAAUGUCGCUUCACAGAUGUGAUCAAGUUAAGGAGAGUGAGACAGGGAGCUGAUCCUGGAUGAUCCAGGCGGCCCAGUGUGAUCCAAAGUGUCGUCAUAAAGAAAAGAGGGAGGCAGGAGGGCUGACGCAGAGACGGAGGUGCCAGGAGGGAGCAGAGACUGACGGACGCGAGAAAGGGCCCUGAGCCAGGAGUCCAGCGGCCUCUGGAAACUGGAAAGAGCAAGAAAACGAUUCUUCGCUGGAGCCUCCAGAAGGAAUCAUUCUAGACUUCCAGGCUCCAGAACUUAAGACGAUAAAUGCGUGUCGUUUGAAGCCACUGAGUUUGUGGUGAUCUGUUACAGUCGCAGAAACUUGCUGGGGUAAGUUUCUUCAUCCCCCCCGAGCCUCAGUUUUCUCAGUCCAUGAAUUGGGGCUCACUGACUCCUCACGGCGUUGUCACCCCCGUGGAUGCACGGAUGCAUGGACGCACUGGACAUGCAUAGGAUGGUGGCCGGCACCCAGUAAAUGCUCGAGAAACAUCAGCUCUCCUGCCCUCAAAAUGGAGAUAAACCGUUCGUUUAUCUGACAAACAUUCAUGGAACGCCUACAAUGUCACGGCCAGCGUUCUGAGUGCUGGAGAUGCCGCGUGAACAAGACAGGCCGGCACUCUGGCCCUCGGGAGCUUCCAUUCCAGAGAGAGAGAAGAACAAGAGAAAUGAGGACACACUGUGGGAUUUCGGACGGUGAAGAUCAUGGAGUCACAGAUUCCCAGAGGUUGUCCCCCAGGCUGUAAAUUCCACACCCUACGACGAGGAGUCCUCCUCACCCCCUACAGGAUGCUCUGCUUCCUCCUUAUGUCGGACUCUCCCGUUCUUCAUCUCCUUCAUGACCCUGAACUCCAGCGGUUACUAUGGUAACUCAACCGCCAUGCCCGGCCCCCUUCUUUACCACCCGCCUCUGCUUCCAAGGCUGAAAACCAGGGACUCAGUUUCCCAGCAUCCUUUGCUACCAGUGACAGUCAUGUGACAGCAUGGUGGCCAAUGAGAUGAAAGCAGAAGUCAGCUGGGAGGCUUCUGGGAAGCCUUGGUGGUUCUUCCCUUCUUCCUGCCUUGAAUGUGGAUGUGAUGGUCAGAGUUGUGGCAGCCAUCCUGUGGUCAUGAGGCAACAGGCACGAAAGUCAACAUGCUAAGGGUGGUGAGGCAGAGAGACAGAAAGAACCCGAGAUGUCAGCUGUCAGUGAAUUAACGCCUGAAACCUCCUUCUUCCAGAUUUUUUUUGUGUGAGAAAAAUAAGUACCUGUUUGUUGACAUCAUUGAUUCCUGUUAACUUGCAGUCAAACACAUUCUCUGAUGAUUUUCUUCCAGGAGGGAAACUGGGCCCAGAGAGCCAUGGGAUGGUACUCAACAUGUCACGGACCGUUGCUGGAGGUGCCAGGACAGGACUGCAGGAGGGGACAGUGUGAGAUCUCAGACCUUAAAACCAGAGAGAGAGGCGGCCUCCAUUCUUUUUUGGGGAAAAUAAGAAUUUGGGGACUAUGAGUUUAAAAUGUGCCAGGAUCUCUUCCUGAAGAAAAACUUGGUCUCAGAUUCAAAAUAUAAAACCAACAGGCGGAGACACGCAGGGAGGGCAGACUCGGAGAAGCAUUGGAAUUCCCAGGUGUCCUUUGGGUGCCAAACAAAGAAACAAGCGAUAAAACCACACUGCUCUGCCCACAUUGUAUUCCCAAGAACCAACUCUGCCUUUUUUACAGAAGCCUGAGCUUCUGUAGUUUAAAAGUAAAAUAGCCAUGCCCAGUGGUGUAGCAGUUAAGUUUGUGCACUCCAUUUUGGUGGCCCAGGGUUCAUGGGUUCAGAUCCUGGCUGUGAACCUAGCACCACUCAUCAAGCCAUAGUGUGGUGGCAGUCCUGCAUACAAAAUAGAAGAAGAUUGGCACCGAUGUUAGCUCAGGGCCAAUCUUCCUCAGCAAAAAAAAAAAAAAAAAAAGUAAAAUAGCCCAGUAAAGACAGCCUCUUAGUUUGAUGUGAUCAACACAUAGGGAAGGUGAUUCCUAUCAGUUCACCCUGGAAAGACACUACAUGAAUUUUAUACCAGAACCUGCAUGUGGCUGCGCAGCCCAGAGCUGGGGAAGGAGUGUGUGUCUCUCCAUCAGGUCGACUUCACCUGGGGGACCCAGAGGCCUCAUUUCUCCACUUGUAUCAGUCAGUCGGGGUAACGUUAGCUGCUGUAACAAACAAGCUCGAAAAUGUGAAACGGCUCAAACAAUGACAGAAGUUGAUUGUUGCUCGUGGAAAGUCGUGGUUUUUCUUGAUCAGCCGGUGGUUUUCCUCAAGGUGUGACUCAGAAACCCGGGUUCCUGCCACCGCCUGGCUCCUCCAUCUCCAACGCUUGGCUUCCAAGGUGGCCCCAGGGGUCGUCUCUGUUCCAGUCGGCUUGAAAGAGAGAAGUGAAUAGAGGGUGAUGGUGGGAGGCUUUAACCGGCCAGCCCGGGUAGUGUGCACGUCCUUUCCAGUCAUGUCCUGUUGCUUAGAACUCAGUCACGUGGUCACACCUAAUGGAAGGGAGGCUGGGGGUGUUGUGCAGAGCUGUGCAUAGCGGCACAAGGAAACAGUCCUGCAGGACCACCAGCCUCUGCUGGUCUUCAUAGUCCUGAAAUAGUAAUAAUAAGAUGCAACUACAGGGGCCGGCCCAGUGGCGCAGCAGUUAAGUGCGCAUGUUCUGCUUCUUGGCAGCCUGGGGUUCGCCGGUUCAGAUCCCGGGUGCGGACAUGGCACCGCUUGGCAAGCCAUGCUGUGGCAGGCGUCCCACAUAGAAAGUAGAGGAAGAUGGGCACGGAUGUUAGCUCAGGGCCAGCCUUCCUCAGCAAAAA
ensembl:lncRNA